GUUGAAGAUGAUUAAGACGGUGUUAUUGCUACUUGGUCUCUCUGGUUGCUGUUUAGCUCAACUCUGCUGUGUUCCCAAUACCUGGGAAGGUAUCCAAAGACAAACCGCCGGUAGUAUUAAAGAUGGAAAACCUACAGUCUCUGUAACAGAUAUUAAAGUUCAUUAUGAUUUAACCAACUUUAGAGCAGCAUUUGAUGAAAAUGUUACUGCUAAUGGUUAUACUGUUCAAGUGAAAGUUAUCCAGAUGUAUAAUAAUGGCAUUGAAUAUAUUAUAAGUGGAAAUACUUGCAGCAAGAAAAUGAUUCCUCCAUCACCACAAACCCGCUGUGUACCAAAUUCGGCUAAACUUGAAGGAAAACAUUUUAUUGUGGAUGGAAAGAACAACAUUUCUUUUAACACGUAUAAAUACGAAGCUAACGGAAUUUCUGCUUCUAUUUCAAUGACAGACCAUUGCAAACCAAUUAGCCAAGUUAUUUACGGAGCUAGUAACGGAGUUCAGUUUUUGUCGAGUGAUGUCUACUAUGAUAUAACAGAUGGUAUUGUGGAUCCAGCUGUCUUUAAUAUUCCAGCUAUCUGUUCCAACGCCAAACUUAUUCCGGUCGGGAAAACUGACCUUAGCAACAAAAGAAUUAUUGGUCGAUGAUGC